UACGUAGGGUGCAAGCGUUGUCCGGAAUUAUUGGGCGUAAAGAGCUCGUAGGCGGUUUGUUGCGUCGGCUGUGAAAUCCCGAGGCUCAACCUCGGGUCUGCAGUCGAUACGAGCAAACUAGAGUGUUGCAGGGGAGACUGGAAUUCCUGGUGUAGCGGUGAAAUGCGCAGAUAUCAGGAAGAACACCCGUGGCUAAGGCGGCUCUCUAGUACGGUACUGACGCUGAGACGCGAAAGCGUGGGGGAGCGAACAGG
rnacentral:rRNA from 1 species